AAAGAUUUAUCGGAGAUGGAUGAGCCCGCGUUGGAUUAGCUAGUUGGUGGGGUAAUGGCCUACCAAGGCGACGAUCCAUAGCUGGUCUGAGAGGAUGAUCAGCCACACUGGGACUGAGACACGGCCCAGACUCCUACGGGAGGCAGCAGUGGGGAAUAUUGGACAAUGGGCGCAAGCCUGAUCCAGCCAUGCCGCGUGCAGGAUGAAGGCCUUCGGGUUGUAAACUGCUUUUGUACGGAACGAAACGGCCUUUUCUAAUAAAGAGGGCUAAUGACGGUACCGUAAGAAUAAGCACCGGCUAACUACGUGCCAGCAGCCGCGGUAAUACGUAGGGUGCAAGCGUUGUCCGGAAUUAUUGGGCGUAAAGAGCUCGUAGGCGGUUUGUCGCGUCUGCCGUGAAAGUCCGGGGCUUAACCCCGGAUCUGCGGUGGGUACGGGCAGACUAGAGUGCAGUAGGGGAGACUGGAAUUCCUGGUGUAGCGGUGAAAUGCGCAGAUAUCAGGAGGAACACCGAUGGCGAAGGCAGGUCUCUGGGCCAUCACUGACGCUGAGAAGCGAAAGCGUGGGGAGCGAACAGGAUUAGAUACCCUGGUAGUCCACGCCGUAAACGAUGAGUGCUAAGUGUUAGGGGGUUUCCGCCCCUUAGUGCUGCAGCUAACGCAUUAAGCACUCCGCCUGGGGAGUACGACCGCAAGGUUGAAACUCAAAGGAAUUGACGGGGGCCCGCACAAGCGGUGGAGUAUGUGGUUUAAUUCGAUGCAACGCGAAGAACCUUACCUGGUCUUGACAUCCACGGAACUUUCCAGAGAUGGAUUGGUGCCUUCGGGAACC
rnacentral:rRNA from 1 species